AUUGAACGCUGGCGGCAGGCCUAACACAUGCAAGUCGAGCGGAAACGAGUUAUCUGAACCUUCGGGGGACGAUAACGGCGUCGAGCGGCGGACGGGUGAGUAAUGCCUAGGAAAUUGCCCUGAUGUGGGGGAUAACCAUUGGAAACGAUGGCUAAUACCGCAUAAUGCCUACGGGCCAAAGAGGGGGACCUUCGGGCCUCUCGCGUCAGGAUAUGCCUAGGUGGGAUUAGCUAGUUGGUGAGGUAAUGGCUCACCAAGGCGACGAUCCCUAGCUGGUCUGAGAGGAUGAUCAGCCACACUGGAACUGAGACACGGUCCAGACUCCUACGGGAGGCAGCAGUGGGGAAUAUUGCACAAUGGGCGCAAGCCUGAUGCAGCCAUGCCGCGUGUGUGAAGAAGGCCUUCGGUUGUAAAGCAUUUCAGUCUGAGGAGGAGUGAGUUAAUAGCUGCAUUAUUUGACGUUUAGCGACAG
rnacentral:rRNA from 1 species